rnacentral:rRNA from 1 species
AAGUGCGAAUGCUGACAUAAGUAACGAUAAAACGGGUGAAAAACCCGUUCGCCGGAAGACCAAGGGUUCCUGUCCAACGUUAAUCGGGGCAGGGUGAGUCGGCUCCUAAGGCGAGGCUGAAAAGCGUAGUCGAUGGGAAACAGGUUAAUAUUCCUGUACUUGGUAAAGCUGCGAUGUGGGGACGGAGUAGGUUAGGUUAUCGCACUGUUGGAUAUGUGCGUUUAAGUUGGUAGGUGGGAAGUUUAGGCAAAUCCGGGCUUCCUUAACACAGAGAGAUGAUGACGAGGCUCUACGGAGCUGAAGUAACUGAUACCACACUUCCAGGAAAAGCCACUAAGCGAAAGGCUUUACUAAACCGUACUGAAAACCGACACAGGUGGUCAGGUAGAGAAUACUCAGGCGCUUGAGAGAACUCGGGUGAAGGAACUAGGCAAAAUAGCACCGUAACUUCGGGAGAAGGUGCGCCGGCGUAGAUUGUAAGGGCUAGCCCCUGAAGGUUGAACCGGUCGAAGAUACCAGCUGGCUGCAACUGUUUAUUAAAAACACAGCACUCUGCAAACACGAAAGUGGACGUAUAGGGUGUGAUGCCUGCCCGGUGCUGGAAGGUUAAUUGAUGGUGUAAUCGCAAGAGAAGCACCUGAUCGAAGCCCCAGUAAACGGCGGCCGUAACUAUAACGGUCCUAAGGUAGCGAAAUUCCUUGUCGGGUAAGUUCCGACCUGCACGAAUGGCAUAAUGAUGGCCAGGCUGUCUCCACCCGAGACUCAGUGAAAUUGAAAUCGCCGUGAAGAUGCGGUGUACCCGCGGCUAGACGGAAAGACCCCGUGAACCUUUACUAUAGCUUGACACUGAACAUUGAAUUUUGAUGUGUAGGAUAGGUGGGAGCCUUUGAAGCAGUGACGCCAGUCAUUGUGGAGGCGACCUUGAAAUACCACCCUUUAACGUUUGAUGUUCUAACGAAGAUGACGAAACGUGGUCUCGGACAGUGUCUGGUGGGUAGUUUGACUGGGGCGGUCUCCUCCCAAAGCGUAACGGAGGAGCACGAAGGUUUGCUAAUCACGGUCGGACAUCGUGAGGUUAGUGCAAUGGUAUAAGCAAGCUUAACUGCGAGACAGACAAGUCGAGCAGGUACGAAAGUAGGUCAUAGUGAUCCGGUGGUUCUGAAUGGAAGGGCCAUCGCUCAACGGAUAAAAGGUACUCCGGGGAUAACAGGCUGAUACCGCCCAAGAGUUCAUAUCGACGGCGGUGUUUGGCACCUCGAUGUCGGCUCAUCACAUCCUGGGGCUGAAGUAGGUCCCAAGGGUAUGGCUGUUCGCCAUUUAAAGUGGUACGCGAGCUGGGUUUAGAACGUCGUGAGACAGUUCGGUCCCUAUCUGCCGUGGGCGU